GACGAACGCUGGCGGCGUGCUUAACACAUGCAAGUCGAACGGAAAGGCCCCUUUGGGGGUCCUCGGGUGGCGAACGGGUGAGUAACACGUGAGUAACCUGCCCUUGACUUCGGGAUAACUUCAGGAAACUGGGGCUAAUACCGGAUCGGAAUCCUUGCUGCGUGGGGGUUGGAAAGCUUCGGAGGUUUUGGUUGGACUCGCGGCUUAUCAGCUUGUUGGUGGGGUAGUGGCUUACCAAGGCUUUGGCGGGUAGCCGGCCCGAGAGGGUGACCGGCCACACUGGGACUGAGAUACGGCCCAGACGCCUACGGGAGGCAGAAGGGGGGAAUAUUGCACAAGGGGCGGAAGCCUGAUGCAGCAACGCCGCGGGCGGGAGGACGGCCUUAGGGUUGUAAACCGAUUUCAGCAGGGGCGAAGCUUGUGGUGACGGUACCUGCAGAAGAAGCACCGGCUAACUACGUG
rnacentral:rRNA from 1 species